rnacentral:rRNA from 1 species
ACGGGUGAGUAAUACAUCGGAACGUGCCCGAUCGUGGGGGAUAACGGAGCGAAAGCUUUGCUAAUACCGCAUACGAUCUACGGAUGAAAGCAGGGGACCGCAAGGCCUUGCGCGGACGGAGCGGCCGAUGGCAGAUUAGGUAGUUGGUGGGAUAAAAGCUUACCAAGCCGACGAUCUGUAGCUGGUCUGAGAGGACGACCAGCCACACUGGGACUGAGACACGGCCCAGACUCCUACGGGAGGCAGCAGUGGGGAAUUUUGGACAAUGGGCGAAAGCCUGAUCCAGCCAUGCCGCGUGCAGGAUGAAGGCCUUCGGGUUGUAAACUGCUUUUGUACGGAACGAAAAGCCUCUUUCUAAUAAAGAGAGGUCAUGACGGUACCGUAAGAAUAAGCACCGGCUAACUACGUGCCAGCAGCCGCGGUAAUACGUAGGGUGCGAGCGUUAAUCGGAAUUACUGGGCGUAAAGCGUGCGCAGGCGGUGAUGUAAGACAGAUGUGAAAUCCCCGGGCUCAACCUGGGAACUGCAUUUGUGACUGCAUCGCUGGAGUGCGGCAGAGGGGGAUGGAAUUCCGCGUGUAGCAGUG